rnacentral:rRNA from 1 species
UAACGGCCGGAAACGGCCGCUAAUACCCCAUAUGCCGAGAGGUGAAAUGAAUUUCGCCUGAUGAUGAGCCUGCGUCUGAUUAGCUAGUUAGUGGGGUAAUGGCCCACCAAGGCGACUAUCAGUAGCUGGUCUGAUAGGAUGAUCAGCCACACUGGGACUGAUACUCGGCCCAUACUCCUACGGGAGGCAGCAUUGGGGAAUUUUCCGCAAUGGGCGAAAGCCUGACGGAACAAUUCCGCGUGAGGGAUGAAGGCCUCUGGGCUGUAAACCUCUUUUCUCAAGGAAGAAGACAUGACGGUACUUGAGGAAUAAGCCACGGCUAAUUCCGUGCCAGCAGCCGCGGUAAUACGGGAGUGGCAAGCGUUAUCCGGAAUUAUUGGGCGUAAAGCGUCCGCAGGCGGCCUUGUAAGUCUGUCGUUAAAGCGUGGAGCUUAACUCCAUUUAAGCGAUGGAAACUACAAGGCUUGAGUGUGGUAGGGGCAGAGGGAAUUCCCGGUGUAGCGGUGAAAUGCGUAGAUAUCGGGAAGAACACCAGUGGCGAAGGCGCUCUGCUGGGCCAUAACUGGCUU